rnacentral:rRNA from 1 species
CUGCAGCCCGAGUGGUGAUCGAUUUUAUUGAGCCUAAAGCGUCCGUAGCCGGACUAGUAAACCCUUGGGUAAAUUGGGCAGCUUAACUGUCCAAAUUCCGAGGGGACUGCUAGUCUUGGGACCGGGAGAGGUCAGAGGUACUCCAGGGGUAGGGGCUAAAUCCUGUAAUCCUUGGGGGACCACCAGUGGCGAAGGCGUCUGACUAGAACGGAUCCGACGGUAAGGGACGAAGCCCUGGGGCGCAAACCGGAUUAGAUACCCGAGUAGUCC